GACAUAAACACCUCUGUGGCCACUACCACUGAGACUGCACUGGGUCAGAACUGAAGCCAACACAGCACUUGGUCUCACCCAAAGCCCAGUGUAACCACUACCUGGCUACUGCUUCUGUUUGCUCAAGGCCCUAGGACUCUAUAAUCAGCAGGCAGAGGAGCCUUUCCUCGUGGCCACCACCACCAGAGACUCAAGAGAGGUACUACCAGGCUAUCACAGAUAUUCACUUAAAGACCACAAGGGCUCUUCAGUCAGCCUGUGGUGAAGCCAUCAGGCCUGCGACUCACCCUUCAGGGCAAUGGGUUCCCCUUUGGCCCAGAACAUGUUGAGAAAUGCCACCCAAGAGCCAAGGCCUAGAAUCAGGGAAGUCAAUAGCCCUCUUUGUGCUCUACCCAAUGUGGCCAAGCUGGUGCCUGAAGCCAGCAUAUCUCAGAGACUCACCCAAGGCCCAUGACUAACUAUGUAGGUAUUGCUGCUGGUUCUUCAAGGCCCAAGGGCAUUUUUGUCAGCAGGUGAUUAAUCCUGCCAGACUGGCUUCUUUCCUUAAGGUAGCAAGUUCUCAUCUGGUCUAGGGUAUGUCUAGAUAUGUUGUUCAGGAGCUAGGGCCUGGAAUGGGGGACUCAUGACUCUUCCCAGUGCCCUAUCCUAAUAUGACUGAC
rnacentral:lncRNA from 1 species